GAGAGUUUGAUCCUGGCUCAGGAUGAACGCUAGCGAUAGGCCUAACACAUGCAAGUCGAGGGGCAGCACAUGACGUAGCAAUACAGAUGGUGGCGACCGGCGCACGGGUGAGUAACACGUAUGCAACCUACCUUCCACAGGAGGAUAACCCGUUGAAAGACGGGCUAAUACUCCAUAACACAGGGGUCCCGCAUGGGAAUAUUUGUUAAAGAUUUUUUCGGUAGAAGAUGGGCAUGCGUUCCAUUAGCUAGUUGGUUGAGGUAACGGCUCACCAAGGCAACGAUGGAUAGGGGAACUGAGAGGUUUAUCCCCCACACUGGUACUGAGACACGGACCAGACUCCUACGGGAGGCAGCAGUGAGGAAUAUUGGUCAAUGGAGGCAACUCUGAACCAGCCACGUCGCGUGAAGGAUGACGGCCCUACGGGUUGUAAACUUCUUUUAUACAGGAAUAAAGUGAGUCACGUGUGAUUUUUUGCAUGUACUGUAUGAAUAAGGAUCGGCUAA
rnacentral:rRNA from 1 species